rnacentral:lncRNA from 1 species
AGAAGAGGGGCAUCUGGUGGAUCUGGCCAAGUUGUUUGACCAGGUUGAGACAACUCAGGCUGAGGUUGAGUCUGAAUCAGUGCACUUGUGGAGUGCUGUCCGGUAAACUGCUGAGGUUUAUUAUGAGUGGAUAAGAGGAAUCCAGGUCGAUCCUGCUAAAAAAAAUGAAAAAAGAAAAGAAAAAAAAGGUAAAAAGAAAGAAAGAAAAGAAAAGAAAAGGAAAAAGCAAUGCAAGAAAGGCCUGAACCGAAACAAAAAAACAAAACAAGAGAGCAAACGGUCAGGUGGAUAUUGCCAAGGGGCAUUGAAAAAAGAAUAAGUUGCAGGAAC